rnacentral:tRNA from 1 species
AAGGGUAUAGCUCAAUUUAUAGAGUGCCUGCUUAGCAUGCAUGAGGUCCUGGGUUCAAUCCCCAGUAUCUCCA